UGGCCUAUGGUGUAAUUGGCAGCACGACGGUUUCUGGUUCCGUUAGUUUAGGUUCGAGUCCUGGUAGGCCAG
rnacentral:tRNA from 1 species